AAAAGUUUGAUUCUUGCUCUCAUGUUCUCUAAGAGCUUUUGUGUUACAGCUCCUUCUAAAGCGAAGAAUUACAGGCUGGAAAAGACCUUUAUUCAUGUCAAAGAAAAUCGAUAUCCGAAAGAGAGAGAGACACACACAGAUACAACGUGCAUGUUGUUGUCUUUUCAGAUGCGUUAAACAAAAUGUCCAAACACUGAACGCAAAUUCUUCUUUGAAUUUUAAAAGAAGAACGAAUAAGUUCUUGUAGUUCUGGUAAAGGACAAAUGGACACAGAUACCGACCAAUGAUCUCAAAAGGCCAAACAUGGGCCUAUUAAUCAUAUCAGUCGAUCACUGGUUACAAACCAAACCAAUUCACGAAAUUUUGUUUUUAGAAAGUUUUUUCAAAUAUUGUAUUAAUCAUUAUUUAUCAGAUUUUUUUUCUACACAUUGCGCGGCUUUUUAAAAUAGUUUAUUUGUGCACGAGUUGAUUUUAAAUGCAUCUGAUUCUAAUAUCAGACUAAUAAAAACUCAUCAAUGUUAAUGCUUUACAUCUAGAAACUGUGAUUUGAAUUAAAAACAUUGAAACUGAAAUAAACGCAUUAGCCGCACUAUACAAUCAUGUAAAUAUUAGGCCAAAGGUUUAGAUGUGAUUGGAUUAAUUUAGCUUGCAUUCAUUUGAAUAGAUUAAGCACGUGAACUAUGCAAAUAAAUUAAAGCUGAGUGUAUUAUAAUUUACAAUAAAGCUAAAAGCCGAAGAGAGGCUGUUCGAUUGGGACAGUGUUUUUUUCGCCUUGUCUUCCCUGGUUUCUGUCCUCUCUCAGGCCAUCUGCUGUGUGAGUGCAGCUCUAUUGAUCAGAAUCAAUGCGCCUCGGACCCCAUGAUGGUGCCUGUGUGCCGUUAGUGGUCAUCAGUUUGCGCUCGGCGCUGCAUCUGUUCCAAGACACCCGGACGAUUUGACUUUGCCUUCAGUGAUCCUACAGCUCUCGGCAGCGUGACCUUUAACCCUUGACACGUUCACCUCAUUCUGGCCAUGAAAGAGAUGCAUGGACAACAACUCAACUCUUUUUUAUAUGUUUAACAUUGAUUAAAGAAAUACAAAAAAACAAAAAAACUGUGUGUACUGUCCUAAUGCAUGUAAACAUGAUAUAUCACAGGUCAAAUUAUAUAUGAGUUAUAUAAAAUUAUUUAACAAUGACUCAAAUAGGCCUAUUCACUAUUCAUAUAAAACCAAAACAUUAAAGCAGGAAUAAUCAAAAUAAAUAUUUACAUUGAA